AUUCCUCGAAAACUUAAGGUAUAGUAAUCCUUUUUAGAAAUUGAAUGGAUUUAGUCUUAUAUAUAUGUGAGGAAGGUAGUCGAAAAAGAAAGAAAAUGGGUUCUUCUUUCUUUUAUUACUUAGGAGCCGUGUGAGAUAAAAGUCUCAUAAAUGAUUUUGAAUGAGAUAAAGAAGUGAGGAAUCAUUUUUUCAACUCUGAUUCUCCCACUCCAGUCGUUUCUUUUCUUUCUAUUACUUUGAAAGUAGCUGUUUCAGCUUCAGUUACUCGAAUUUUCGAUGUUUCUUUUUAUUUCUCAUCAAACAAAUGGUAUUUUCUUCUGGAAAUCCUAGUUAUUCUUAGCAUGAUAUUGGGAAAUCUCAUUUCUAUUACUCAGACAAGCAUGAAACGUAUGCUUGCAUAUUCAUCCAUAGGCCAAAUCGGAUAUAUAAUUAUUGAAAUAAUUGUUGGAGACUCAAAUGAUGGAUAUGCAAGCAUGAUAACUUAUUGCUGUCCUAUAUCUCCAAGAAUCUAGGAAAUUUUGCUUGCAUUGUAUUAUUUGGUCUACAUAUCGGAACUGAUAACAUUUGAGAUUAUGCAAGAUUAUACACAAAAGAUCUUUUUUUUGUCUCUCUCUUUAGCCUUAUGUCUCUUAUCCCUAGAAGGUCUUCCUUCACUAGUAGUUUUUUUUGAAAACUCUAUUUAUUCUGGUGUGGAUGACAGGUAGGCCUAUAUUUCUUGGUUUUAAUAGGACUCCUUGUUUUUAUCUACUAUUAUUUAAUAAUAAUCAAGUUAUUAAUGGCUAGACAAAACCAAGAAAUAACCCCUCACGUGCAAAAUUAUAGAAGAUCCCCUUUAAGAUCAAACAAUUCCAUCAAAUUGAGUAUAAUUGUAUGUGUGAUAACAUCUACUACAAUAGGAAUAUCCAUGAACCCGAUUAUUGUAAUUGCUCAGGAUAGCCCUUUUUAGCUUCUAGGGUCUAUUUCUUAGUUCAAGAUCCCUCUUACUAACUGGAAUUAAAGAAAUAGUAGAUCUAUUCUGCCCAAAAUGGGAAUGGGCUAGGUUAUGAACUUAUAAUCUGAUGAUCGAGUUGAUUCCAUAAUUAUAAGUUCAUUCCAUACCGGGCCAGGAUAGAAUAGGGUUAUAUACAUUCUCAUUAUGAGAAGGGGCCAGUUGAGCAUAUCUAAAUAAAUACUAUGUUUACAUAUGGAUCCCUACAUCAUUACAUUCCAUUUAGGAUUAGGAUUACGCGUAAUUGGAUCUGCUUUUUACAUAUAUCUAUUAGGACCCUAUUCACCUCUUUGAGUGAAUUGAGAAAUAGGUUUGAUUGUCUAUAUUUUUGAAAUAUAUCAGGCAUUGCAUUCCCUGGAUAAUUCAAUCAAAGCAAUUAGAUGUCCAACUCUGGUUAUAUGACAUGACCAAUCAAUAGAUCCAUCUUUGUCAUAUAUUCCGUACAUCACAUUAGAUAUAUAUCAAAUUCAUGGAAGACGAUUCACUUUCAAGAUGCCUUGGUGGUGAAAUAGUAGACACGCAAGACUCAAAAUCUCUUGCUAAAGAGCGUGGAGGUUCGAGCCCUUCUCAAGGCAUAAUAUUGAGAAUACUCAUUCAAUGAGCAUUCUGAAUUGGAAUAAAUUCAGUAGCAGAUUGCAAAAUCUUAGUGAUCCUCUCUAUCUAAUGAAUGGGGAGUUCGCUUUAAAAUCGUCCACCCUGUACCCACCCCUGAGUAUAUGCUUCAACAAGAAUCACACAGGGGUAGAUUAGAAACCUCUGGUAAAAUGCCCACCCGUAACCCAGCAGAUAAAGUACAUUACAUAGUCCAGGGAUUGACGACUUACCCAUUCAGUGACUUUGGCAAUAGACGUUCCCAAAAUGGGGACUAUUGGGUAAAUUCAAUAUAAUAGACGUCUAUUGGCAUUCCAUCCUUCCUUCUCCUUUCAGGGCCUAUCUGAAAGAGAAUCCAGUACUUCUUAGUCGUGAAUAUCUGAGCUGGUUGUUUGCUGUUUAAGAAUUCUUGUUUAGGCAGUUCAUACCAUCCUUACAUAGUAUUUUGAUCUAAGAUUUCAAUUCUUCUAUGUUUCAAAACUAACAUAUUCUUCCAUGGAGCUAAGGUCCAAAAUAUGGAGGAAAUAAGCAUUUCCAUGACUCUACCACCCAGUCAAUUCUGUUCCACUUAAUCUACUUAAUCACAAGCGUUUUCUCAUAGGAGCGUCUGUGGAUUUGAUCAAUUACUCUUUGUGCUUUGUCAGCAGACAUAGAUAUAUGUUGAUCUAAAGCAUAUACUUUCAUUUUUUCUUCUUUAUCAUAAGGUUUGCCUCCUACUACUAAAUCAUAAGCAUCUAGAUUUUUUUAAUUAAUAUUAACGUUAACGACGAGAUUUAUUAUCGCUUUUUUCAUAUCCUCUAAAAUUUAAUGUAGGUGCAAAUUCUCCCAAUUUGUGGCCUAUCAUACUAUGCGUUAUAUAAAUAGGCAAAUGCUCUUUUCCAUUAUGGAUAGCAAUAGUAUGACCGAUCAUUGUGGGUAUAAUGGUAGAUGCCCGGGGCAAAGUUACUAUUAUUUCUUUUUCUGUUUUUGUGUUAAGCUUAUCAAUUUUUUUAAUAAAUGAUUGGCUGUAAAGUGAUUUUUUUUAGUGAACGUGUCAAAGCUUACUCCUAUUUUUUUCUGUAAAUUUUUUUUUUAAAAAAUGAAUUAAAUUCAAUUUUCUCUCCUAUUUACUACGAUGAUGAAGAAUCAAAUUAUCACUAUAUUUAUUCCUUUUUCUACUUCUUCUUCCAAGUGCAGGAAAAACCCAAGGGGUUGUGGUUUUUCUUAUCAAUUGGGGCUCUCCCUUGACCAUCCCCAUGGGGAUGGUCUACAUGGUUCAUAACUACUCCUCUUACUAUAGGAUUCUUACUUAGCCAAAGCUUAGAUCUCGCUCUAUCCAAACUUUUCUGGUUCACCCCAACAUUCCCUACUUGUCCGACUAUUGCUGAGCAGUUUUUGAAUAUCAAAUGGACUUCUCCAUAAGGUAAUUUUAAUGUGGCCGAUUUCCCCUCUUUUGCAAUCAGUUUCUCAGCAGCACCCGCUGCUCUAGCUAAUUGUCCAACCUUUCCAAGUGUGAUUUUUAUGUUAUGUAUGGCCAUGCCUAAGGGCAUAUAAGUUGAAGUAGAUUCUUCUUUUGAUCAAUCAAAACCCCUUCCCAAACUGUAUAAGCUUCUUCCAAAGCAUAAGACUUUUCGGAUAUAGAUGAUGAUAUCUAUAUAUAUGGAUCUUAUAUAUAUCAUAGAAUGAAGUAACUCAUGGGUGGAUAUAUAUAUGAAUCAAAAUCUGUCGAAUCACUUAUGUUAUGAUCUUCUAUAUUCUGGGUCUUCCCAUUCUGUUAUCUGGCUUAUGUUCUUCAUGUAGCUUUCAGACCGAAUGACUCUAUGAAAUUACAUCGAUACUUCCACAUAUUAUGGGUAACAUAGGAGACAUCUCUAUUUUUACCCCAGGGAAUAUUUAGAAUUCCCACUUCUUAACUUUCAAUUCGCCUCUAACCAUUAAAUGAAAUGUGAAUAACCCAUCCUCCUCAUUUUAAAAGAAGGGGAGCUUACGGUUCUGUUGGUGCAUGAAAUAAUUUUAUCUUCUCCAUAUUACUAUAUCUCUAGGGUCAAUAAUUUUAUAUGAGAAACUACUGAACUCCAUCACUUGCUGCUGUUACUCUUUAGUUUUCUGUUGAGGUCUAUCCUACAGAGGUACUCAAAUUAGAUCAGUGAUUGAUUUCUAGGUUUCUUCAUAAACCUAAUUGUUUAUUUCCACUUAUGCAAAUCAAUAGUUCAAACCUCACUCAAAGGUAGGGCAUUUCCUAUUUUUAUAGGAACUUCUGUACCAGAAACAAUGAUAACUCCAAUUAUAGCCCCUCAGGGAUGUAAAAUAUAUCUCUUCUCUCCAUCUCUAUAGUGUAUGAGACAGAUGUAUGCAUUUCAAUUAGGGUCGUAUUCUAUGGUUACGAUACUACCAUAUAUGUCUUUUUCAUUUCAUCGAAAAUUAAUUUUACGGUAUACACGCUUAUGACCUCCCCCUCCAUACCUUGUGGUAAUGAUUCGUCUGGCAUUAUGACCUUUACCACUACGACGCUGUCCAUAGAUCAAAUUAUUUUGUGGAUUGAAUUUCAGUUGACUAUCUACGUUUCCAUUGUGUGUGCUCGGGGUAUAAGUUUUGUAUAAAUGUAUCGCUAUUCUAUUAACACUACUAAAAAAAGAAAAAACCGACCACAAGUGGUCGGUUUCCCUAAAUUCCGAUCAUAAAACUGACCAAACUGUAUAGUUGGUAAACAAUUGGUAGUUUUUUAAAAUUUAUUAUUAUGUUUUUAAAAUUUGAAAAAAUAAUUUAUAAAAAAAUAAAAAAUAAAACCGACGACAAAUGAUCGGUUUUUUAUUUAAUUAUUUAAUUAAUUUAAUAGAAAACCGACCACAAGUGGUUGAUUUUCUAUUAAAUUAAUUUAUUUAAUAAAAAACCAACCAUAAGUGGUCGUUUUUUUUUUUUUGAAAAACCGACCACUUGUGGUCGAUUUUUCUGUGAUUUUUUUAAAAUCAGCAAUUGUAAAUGUUUUCAAAAGUGUACAAUACAAUAAUAGUUUCAAAAGAUUACAAACUGUAAUAUAAUGUGUAAAUUCAAAGUACAACAAUAGUUUCAAAAGUGAUAACAACUACAACAAUAGUUUCAAAAACGUAUAAACUACAAUAUAAUAUCUAAAUUCAAAGUACAACACAUACCAAAGUCAAAAAACUAAAAGUCAUCAUCAUCGAAUUCAUCCUCAUCUUCCAUAUUCUCAUUUAUGCUGAUAUCAUUCAGGGGGCCAAGUCCUUUUCCAGCCCGAACAACAUCACCUAUACACGGAGAAAUAAUCUCUGCAGUCUGAAUAAAAGAGCUAAAUUGCUCCUGCAGCAUACUUAUUUGUGAUAAAUUUUCCUCCUUCCUUUUUUGCGACCUCUCUCUCUGUUCAUCAUACUCUUCGAAUGGACUGAGUAGUUACUUGUGUGAAUUGUAUCUAAGUGUAACCACUGUGCAUCUUUGUAUGGCAUUAGUUCUAGUGACAAAAUAAUUAGUGCUAAACAACUGCAUGAACUAAACGAGUAGUAGCUUGUGAUAUACUUGUGUGCCAUGUGUGUGUGAGAUCUUACUUAGUUUCCAUUGUAUGUUGAAUCCAGAACUUUCCCGAUUAGUCUUACCUAGGUUGAAGGAUAUGGGGUAGGAAAGGAUCAUAGGCCGUUUUGAUAUUAGCUCACUGUUAGCCUAAAUGACCUUCCCUGUAUGUAGAAUAUCCCUUAAUCCCUAUUUUGAGCUUGUUUAGCCUAUUUUUUUACGACACCUGUCACCUUCCAGUUUAUAUCAUAAUGAACCUGUUUUGGCCCUAGUCUUCCUUGGACACUGUGCACCUUGACUUAGGCGGAUGACCUAAGUUGAGGGUGGCUAUCAUAGGGGUACAUGAUGUAAAAUGAGUAGGAAAAAGGUAGAGUAAAAGAAAAGAAUAAAAAUGUCACGCCCCAAAAUCCCAUCGGGCCGGACUGGCACCCGAAGCCGAGAAGGCUCGGGAGAACCCGUUCAGAUACCUGUACUUUCACUUACAUGUCACCAAAAAUUUGGACAACACUUCGUUGCAUAUAGAAGGGUCUAAUUACCUGUAUCAGCACAAAACGCACCAAUAUAUAUANNNNNNNNNNNNNNNNNNNNNNNNNNNNNNNNNNNNNNNNNNNNNNNNNNNNNNNNNNNNNNNNNNAAAGCUCCGAAGUAAACUGGAGCUCACCAACGAUAGCUGUGUGACCUGGCUCCUAUCUAUGCUGUGAAUGAGCUGAAGCACCUGUGCCUGCAGCAUGAAAUGCAGGUCCCUCGUGAGGGACGUCAGUACGAAAUAUGUACUGAGUAUGUAAAGCUGUAAAUAAUCAUAUGUGGUAUGGGGGAUCAAGAAAAUCAGACGCAAGUGAAUAAAUCAUAAUAGAAGUGAACCACACUUCAUAAACACUUUUAGGAUCAUGUACAUUAUCUUAUCAUUAAUCUGAAUUGGGUUCUUGAAUUCAAACACAUUUGUGGAACGGUAUACAUUCGUUCAUUUCAUUCUUUACAAUUAUCAUUCGCCAUUACCUCCUCCUCCCGAACCUCCAACCACCUAACAAUAAUCAAUACUGUACCGUACUGUGACCAUUAGGCUGCCCCCAGUACAUAUCAACUGUAAUCAUAUCAAAUAUCGGGAUCGGCCCAUGCUAGGCUUAAGCCCCUGAGCUACCACCCACACGUAUAUCAAGUAACACACAUAAGAGAUCUUUCCAAUAACUUAGUUCAAAAGCUUUUGAGAUUAUUACAUUAGUGUUCAUGCCAAUAUAGUACCUUUGGAAUAAUGAUACAUCAAUAGGAACCAAGUAAUAGACUUUCUAUACAAUAACGAUGUAAUAAAGACUCAUUGGUACAUCAACAAUGUGUUUCGGAAUCAUCAAUAUCACAACAAUGAAAUAGGAGCCUUUCGGUAUAUCAAUGAAACAUUUUGACACUUUAUAGAAUGGAAACAACUUCGUUGGUAAUGUAGAACAAUACAUGUUUUUGGACAACCUCGGAAUCUUACUUGAUGGAACAUUGGUGUUUCAUGCCAAAGAACAUCGUUAUAGUAUGCUUUACAUACCUCGUUGUAGAUUCGGAUACCAAUUCAACACAACUUCCUGCCUUUACAAAUUCUGUUUGGUUGUUGUACUUUUGUGUGCAGAAAAUUUCUGCACAUUUACUGUUCAUUGCAUCCACCGUUUUCAAGUUUCGAACAUACUCGCUUAUAUGCGAUACUCAUCUGUUUUCAGAAAUCUUUUUAUCGUUGGAAAGCUAACUCGAUAAACUUCGCAUAGAAACUUUGAUGAGCAAAUUCCGGUAUAAAUAAAGUCGAUUCCUAUACACAUAUAAUCAAACUAUACACUUGAAACCAUCUCAAAAUAAUCAAUACUCAUACUUAAACUCAUAUAUACCUAACUUAUGAUCAAUACAUAUACUCAAACAUAUAUAACCAUGGCUAAUGCACGUAAUUAAGUACGGGGUGUUACAAAAAAGUUGAGUGCGGUAGAAAAGAGAAAGAAAAAGAAAAGUUGUGAGAAAAAAAUGAUUGUAGAAAAGACCGUACCCAUCUUGAAUAAGUGUGAUCAAGUAAAGAAAAGAAUAGAAAAAUGCCAAUGAGUGAAACCCCAAAAAAUCUAGUGCUGUGUUAAGUAGGCUUAGUCACUUUAAAUAUCAUCGAGUAUCAUACCAUCCCCUAGCCUACAUUACAAGCCAAAGAGAAAACUUAUACUGAUCCUAGCUGAUCUGUCUGAUGAUCUGGGUAAUGAAAAUAAGGGCAAGCCUAUGGUAUUCGGCAUACAUUGAUUGGAACUUCAUUCUGAGAGUGAGUGUCUUAUGACUGUCCCUAUGGUUAUAUAUGUGAUGUCUGAUAUGAGAAAAGAGGGAUUUCUUUGUAGUGAGGGCACACUAGUUACAUCGGUAGUUAUUGACUUAUUUAGAUAGUGUAAACGUGAUGCAUGCAUAGUUGUGUUGCUGAGUUGGUGCCAUAUCUUGAUUCUUGUGUGUUGCAUUGGUGUUCUAUAAUAAUAUACAUAGUUGUUCUUCAAUUGACUGACCUUGGAGAUGGUGCAUAUGUUUGAGAUGAUAUAGAUGAUUGACUGCCAAAUGUACUUUGUAUUCUCUUAGUUGUGUUUGAGUUGCUUGAGGACAAGCAAUUGUUUUAAGUUAAGGGUAUUGAUGUGUGAGUUGAUGCUAAAACAUUUGAGGUGUUUAACUGAGAAUAAUUGCAAAGUAUCAAGCAACUUUUGUCAUUUUUGAGUAUUUUAUCUUUCAUUUUAUAGUAGAAGGUAAGAUGCUAGAGAACCAACAAGGAUGGAAGCAAACGAGUUGAAAUCUAAAGCAAAAAAAAAGAAAAGUAUGGCUGGCGACAUUCUUGAUAAGUCGUCAGCCCUAUGAUAAGUUAUCAGCUUCAUUGUCAGCCUUAGACAGAGAAUGGACCUCAGCUGAAAGUUGUGAUGAUAUUUUGUGAUAAGUCAUCAAGGAAUUGAUAGGUUGUCAAAAUUGUUGUCAGUCUAAGGCAGAACAUGAGAGCUGAGGUAGAUAAGUGACGACAUUCAUCAUAAGUCAGCAAAGAUCUGAUAGGCCAUUAUAGUUCAUCGUCAUCCUAAGUCAGCGAAUAUCAAAAUCAAAGAGGAGCUGACGAUAUAUGUGAUAAGUCAUCAGCCUCUUGAUAAGGCAUCACGAAUGGCGUCACCUGUCCGAUAAAUUGCUAUUUUUCUAAGGAGUUCUGAACAUCUUUUGGAGACACCUACUUUGUUAUUUUUCUCUCUACUUUCUUGGCUAAAAAACAAUUAACUUUGAAGAGAUUUCCAUCAAUACUUUGGGGGUCCCUAUUGUUAUCUAAUCUGAGAAUCACUAGUUAUUAUUCAUCUUUUGGUAAGUUUAUCUUUCAAAUAAUGAAUUCAUCUAGUUGUUCUGAUCAUUACAUCAUGAGUGGCUAAGCCCCUCUAACCCAAAUUACGGGAUCUAUAGGUUAUGUUUUGGUAAGAUUCUAAUUGUUUAAGAUUCAAAAGGUAAUAGGACUCCUUGAUAAUUCUAAGAUUUUAAUCAUUGUCUAUUGGUUGCAAAUAAUUGUGCCAUGUGUGUGUGAGAUACUACCUAAUUCCCGUUGUGUGUUAAAUCCAGAACUUGCCCGAUUGGUCUUGCCUUAGUUGUAGGAUAGCGGUUAGGAAGGAUCAUAGGUCGUUGUUGAUAUUAGUCCACUUUUAGCCUAAAUGACCUUCUAUGUGUAAAUAAUAUCCCUUGAUCCUGAUUUUGAGCCUGAAUGCCUAUUCUUUUUACUAUACCUUUCCCAUUUGUAUCACAAUAAACCUAUUUUGGCCCUGGUCCUCCUUGGAUAUUAUGCACUUUGACUUAGGCAAAUAGCCUAAGUUGAGGAUGGUUACCAUAGGGGUGCGUGAUGUAAAAUGAGUAUGAAGAAAGGUAGAAUAAAAGAAAAGAAUAAAAAGCUGGGUGCAGUGGAAAAAGAAUAAGAUAAGAAAAGUUGUGAAAAAAAAGAAAUAAUUGUAAAAAAGAUAGGCACCCAUCUAGAGUAUGUGUGAUCAAGAAAGGAGAGAAUUAGGUAAAGGUAAAUAUGUGAGACUCCAAAAGUUAGUAUAGUUCCAAGGAGGCUUAGUCACCAUAAAUAUCAUCCAGUAUCAUACCAGCCCUUAGCCUGCAUUACUAUCCAAAGAAAAAGACUCAUAGUGAUCCUAGCUUACCUGUCUGAAAACCUUGGUAAUGAAAAUAAGGGCAAGCAUAUGGUAUUUGGCAUUCAUUGACUGGAACUUCUUUUUGAAAGUGAGUGUCUAUUAAUUGAUCCCACAAUUACAUAUGUUAUUUCUUAUAUGAGUGAGGAGGGACUACUUUGUUGUAAGGGCACAUUGGUUAUGUUGCUAGUUGCUAACUUGUUUGGGCAGUGUAAUAUUGGUACAUGCAUGGUUGUUGUUGCUAAGUUGAUGCUAUAGCUUGAUUUCUUUGUGUACCAUUGUUGCUUUUCAGUAAUAUACACAGUUGAGUUUGAGAUGAUUGACCUUGGAGAUGGUAAAUAUAUUUUGAGCUAAAAUGAAUGAUUGACUGCUGAAUGUGCUUUGUAUCCUGUUAAGUUGAGGGUGUUGAUGUGUGAGCUAAUGCUAACACAUUUGAUGCUUUUAACUAGAAUUAAUUGUAAAGUCUUAAGCAACUUUUGUUAUUUUUGAUUGUUUUCUAUUUGAUAAUUCAGGAAAGUCAACAUGCAAUCAAACGAAAGAUAGUAAGAGCAAAAGAGAUGAAUUUGGAACAAGUGGCCAUGAAAGUGUAGUUGACGACUUGUCUGAUAAGUCGUCAAAUUUGAUAAGUUAUCAGAGUCAUCAUUAGCUGUAGGUAGUGUGAGAAAGUUGGAGCAGAAGUGUGAUGACAUCCCCUGAUAAGCCGUCAGGUGUCUGAUAAGCCGUCUAGAAUGCCGUCAGCCUAAGGCAGAGAUCAUGAAAGUGGAAGAGGAGAUGACAACAUUUCUGAUAAGUCUUCAGACUUCUGAUAAGCUGUUAUGCAUUUCUAUCAGCCUAAAGUAGAGAUCAUCAAACUUGGAGGAGGAGCUGAUGAUAAUGUCUGAUAAGUCGUCAGACUCCUGAUAAGGCG
rnacentral:lncRNA from 1 species